UUUCACGUUUCACGUGAUACAAUUAGCAGUCAUAUUCCGAUCAAAUAUUCAUGUUGCGUGAACAGUCGCCAGACGACGAUCGCUUGAACGAUGGUUCUCUGGUGGUGGAACGGUUUCACAGGGUAUAACAGAAGAUCGCCAGCCGAUUGUACAGCUAAAACAAACAAUGAAAAAUGUUCGUGUAAACAUGUGCUCUAUCCGUAUUUGUCUAUGAGAUUUAGCGAAUGUUAAACUUGUUAAAAACGUGGAGACGCCAGGGUUGAAACUAGAGCGAGCUUUUCAACCAACUCGGCAAACGCCAGAAAUCAUUCCCCUGUCGACGAGCGAACGAAUGAUUCGUCGUCUUCGGUUCGUUCAUUCGUUAAGCAACAGGUAGAGCGAAGAAGAUUCUCUGGAAUCAACAGGAGGACUAUGGUGCAUGAAUUCUGGCAGCCGCGAAGUAUGUUCCACGUGUUUUGUUACAUCCUGUACAUGCACUCGGGUUUGUUUGCUACGAUUAUAUUUGUCGAAUAAUUGUAGCUGUUUUCAAAGUGAAGAGAUGGUUAUCAUAGAAGAGCAAUUGGAGAAAAAAAAGCAAAAGUGGGAUGAAACAAGGUGUCGGCCAAAUCACACAUACGAAUUAUAUUUAUGUUCUGUUCCCAUAUACGAGUGGCAUACAUUGUUACAGUCGUGUUUAUUCGCUAGACACAGUAGUUUUAAAUAAUGAACUUAAUCGCGAAGGCCGUUAUUGUACAUGCUUGUACACGUUUCGACAAGAUUUUUCAUCGAUCGACAUUUAUUAUUUAUUAAUAAUAGUCCGGUCGUAUCAUAGACCGUUAUCUGUGCUCGUGUUCUUAUCGCUAAAGGCCCCUGUACACGUUGAGCCACGUUGCGGCGCAUGCAUCGACACUUAGGUCUCGUGAUUACACGUUACGAUGCAUGUAGUUUGAUAUCGGCGAAUCACCAUCAAACGGCAACUUUUAUCGACGCUUCCCGUCUUGGUUGGCGAGCAAAGUCCCGUAGACACGCGGCUUUCAACGUGUAGAGGGCACCAUCGAUACCAAACAUAAUUUUUACAUUGCAUAAAUAGGAGACUCUCGUCCAGUGAAUACACGCUUAUCCGAACAAACCGCAAUUAGUUCCUUUUCCGUCAUUAACUAACGCUAUCCUAAGUUUCAAGCCCAUCAAUUAUUAUCAAAAUUUCCUUGAAAAUUUCACGAUGUUAACUAGUACGACGAUCAAUUUGUCCUCUUGACAUCUCGCAGAUAAUGCGGUGUACAUUCGCAGGGCUUCGCAAAAAUGUUCAGAGAUUUUCCAAGCACCUAAAAAAAUAAAACGGAGCUGAUAA